rnacentral:lncRNA from 1 species
UCCCCGAGCACCCCCCUCUUCCUCUUCACCCAGAGACCGACAUCCAUCACUAGGAGUCUAUGAAGAGUCGAAAGGGACUCUCCCGCGAUAACCUUGCAGUCCUUGCACAUACCCCUAUCGCUCCUUCUGAGGAGGAGGUAAUCAAUCUGUGUCCUCGCCGCCGAACUCUUGAAGGUGACCAAAUGCUCGUCCCUCUUCUGAAAUUUCGAGUUCGCAAUCAGAAGCUCGGAAGCCCUGGCGAAAUCAAGCAGUGACGUGCCUCCUCCGUUCAGGCGAAAUCAAGCAGUGACGUGCCUCCUUCGUUCCUAACCCCAAAGCCGAAGCCACCGUGCAACUCAC